rnacentral:rRNA from 1 species
UGCCAGCAGCCGCGGUAAUACGUAGGGGGUAAGCGUUGUCCGGAUUUACUGGGUGUAAAGGGCGCGUAGGCGGGCCCGUAAGUCAGAGGUGAAAUCCUACAGCUUAACUGUAGAGCUGCCUUUGAUACUGCGGGUCUUGAGUUCAGAAGAGAGAGAUGGAAUUCCAGGUGUAGUGGUGAAAUACGUAGAUAUCUGGAAGAACACCAGUGGCGAAGGCGAUCUCUUGGUCUGUAACUGACGCUGAGGCGCGAAAGCGUGGGUAGCAAACAGGAUUAGAUACCCUGGUAGUCCACGCUGUAAACGAUGAAUACUAGAUGUUGGGUCCAUAGGGCUCAGUGUCGCAGCAAACGCAUUAAGUAUUCCACCUGGGGAGUACGAUCGCAAGGUUGAAACUCAAAGGAAUUGACGGGGGCCCGCACA